AAAACGGCUCUAUUCAGAGCCAGCAAUAAUUAUCAGGAGAGUUAUUU
rfam:Aedes aegypti strain Liverpool supercont1.577 genomic scaffold, whole genome shotgun sequence.